UUCACGGAGAGUUUGAUCCUGGCUCAGGACGAACGCUGGCGGCGUGCUUAACACAUGCAAGUCGAACGAUGAAGCCCUUCGGGG
rnacentral:rRNA from 1 species